GAUGAACGCUGGCGGCGUGCCUAAUACAUGCGAGUCGAGCGAACAGAUGAGGAGCUUGCUCCUCUGACGUUAGCGGCGGACGGGUGAGUAACACGUGGAUAACCUACCUAUAAGACUGGGAUAACUUCGGGAAACCGGAGCUAAUACCGGAUAAUAUAUUGAACCGCAUGGUUCAAUAGUGAAAGACGGUUUUGCUGUCACUUAUAGAUGGAUCCGCGCCGCAUUAGCUAGUUGGUAAGGUAACGGCUUACCAAGGCAACGAUGCGUAGCCGACCUGAGAGGGUGAUCGGCCACACUGGAACUGAGACACGGUCCAGACUCCUACGGGAGGCAGCAGUAGGGAAUCUUCCGCGAUGGGCGAAAGCCUGACGGAGCGACGCCGCGUGAGUGAUGAAGGUCUUCGGAUCGUAAAACUCUGUUAUUAGGGAAGAACAAAUGUGUAAGUAGCUAUGCACGUCUUGACGGUACCUAAUCAGAAAGCCACGGCUAACUACGUG
rnacentral:rRNA from 1 species